rnacentral:lncRNA from 1 species
GGAGACUUUGAAAAUUCGACUAAAUUUGGUUACAUUGUAUUUAAUUUUCCAUUCCUUUGAUUGGGUUCCCAUUGUUUUAUGUCAUUUUAAGACUAUUGCAUGCUAGGCAACCUUUGGGUGGAAUAUAUGACAAAGAAGGUCUUGUGUUGUGAUGUCCCACAUCGGAUAGAGGAGAAUGUUUCUGACGCUAUAUAUGUAGAGGCUCCUCUUAACCAAGUAGAUGCGUUUUAAAACCGUGAGAACUUAUUUGGGUCCAAAACGGUUGAGAGCGGGUCAUUACAUGUGUCUUGCAAAUGGCCAAAAAAAUAUUUUUUAUUUUUUAUUUUUAUUAUUUAUUUUUUAAAAUCAAACAUCCCCAUUCUCUCUAUAUGUUCAAUUACAACACUCUUGAAAGACAACUCAAAACAUCCCAUAUAAAAUAUCACCAAACAAAUAGCAUUUGGAAAAGUGGUUUCCACUUUUCCCAAAUCCACUCCAAGACAACAAGCCUUAUUACAAACACCCACUUCAAAUUUUCCAAGUCUUCAACUACAUAUUUCUAUGAUUUUAUGGGGUUUUAAUGAGGGAAAAACCCUGAAAAAAUCAGCGGGUGACGAUUAGGGAACGGGAGCAGAUGGCGCAGAAGUACUUGGUCUUGGUUUUGCGGGAGACAGGGACACAACACACAUGUAAAUUGCAGUCAAGAUGCGUUGCAACAACAGGGCCUCCACAGCAAGGGCACACAGCCCCGGCUCCUUCUCUUUUGAUCACCUUUUCUCUCAUAUCAAACACUUGGAAUAUACUCAUGUUUCUCCUCCUGCUGCUACUGCUGCUUCUGCUUCUUUGUUUUUCCACCGCUUGGUUUCUGUCUUUUUCUGGGAUUUUCUUGGAUGGUGUUUGGGAUUGUUUCGGGGUUUCAUUUGGUGGGUUUGGCUCCCUUCCCUAUUUAUAGCUCUUUUAGAAGGCAGAAAAGUCGAGGUAAUUCAAUGCGAAUGCCUGCUGCUGUGUUUUUCUGAGAUGGCUCCUGGAAAUCGAGAGGAAAGGGGCGACUGUCAGAUGGGAAAAGGACAAGAUGAAUGUUGUUCAGUUGGAGAAAGUUGGAUUGGACCAGCAUGAAGCCCACUGGGCUUGUUAGGCUGGGCCCAACACUACGAACUUGACGCGGACAAGAUAGUUUUAUUGCGGUGCCGACUAACCUAAUUAAAAUACAUAGAUCUAUAAUUGAAGAUACUCUUUUUUUUUUUUUUAACUUCGAAUUUCUAAACUAUUGAUUUCCGUAAUUGAAAAUAAUCAAUUAGGUUUACGACAAAAACUUAGAAAUCGAUAGACCUCAAUAAAAUCUUAAAAAGAUUAACGAUAAGAAGUGAUGAGUUUAAUAGUUUUUUGUAUAAAAUUAUUGACUCUAGAAUAUAAUAAUAUGAAUAAGACAUGAUUAUGUUCGGCUUUUUUUUUUUUCCAAAAGAAAACAUAAGUUACUUAUGGUAAGAUAUUUAAAUAAUGUUUUACCAUUUUUAUCAAGAGAGCCUAGAAAUGAAAAAUAAUUUAAAAUAAAUUCUUUCCUUUUCUUUAUAAUAUUCAAAUAUAAUAAUUUUUUUCUUUUUUUUUUUGGUACUUUCUAACAUCAAACAUAUUAAGGAAAAUAACUUUCUUGUAUUUGGAUUUCAUUAAAAAAAUUAUUAUUUUUAUUUAGUUGCUUUUGAAAUGGUUAAGGAAACAAUUGAAUUUAAGUAGUCACAAAAUUAUUUCUAAAAUUAUAUACCUUAUAUUCACGUCAAAAUCAUCUUUUUUCUUUUCAGUGUUUAUAUUAAAAUAUCAAAUGAUUUUGCAUUGCAAUUAUUCACAUCAAAAAUAUAAAUUAAUACAUGUUUCUACUAAAAUCUCAUUUUAAAAUGAUAAUUUAUAUACGUAAAAUCAUUUUUCAAAAAAUACGAUAUGAGAAAUAUUGCAUUUUUAUAAACAUUUUAUAAAAUAUUCGUUUCUUAAGAUUAUGUUUGAUUCCUUGGAAAAUAGUAAGAAAAGAAAAAUGAAAUAUUAAAAAAAAUGAUUUUCUUACAUAUGUUUUUACUAUGAAAAAUUCGAAAGAAAAUUAUAUAUAAUUAAAAUUAUUAAAAAUUUUAUAUAUUUUUAAAUAAUUUAAUCAAUAUAUAAAAGAGUUAAAUUAGUAAAAAAAAAUUAAUACAUAAAAAUAAUUUAUUAAUUUUAGAUCUAUUUUUUAUUUUAUUUUAUUUUCUUCCCCUGUAUAUUUUUUUUUUUCAAAAUUUUCUGGAAUAUAACCUAAAAAUGAUAUUAAAAUAAAAAAAUCCUCCACUAUUCCCCUAAUCCGACAAGAUUGAAUGGAAUCAGAGGAAUACAACUACAAAGAUUUUCCAUGGAAUCCGAGGAAUUUUCCAUGGCCGGUCAAUUUUCAUUGCUGUUAAUUUACCUGGAAAUUUGACAGCCAUGAGAAUCCCGUCCGGAGAAAAUAACGUUGUGGGCACGUGUGAAACUUUUGCUUGUCCAAGGUGCCUUGGAAUUAGUCAAGGAAAAAGACAAAUUUCAUCCGCGCCAGGAUAUGAACUUCCUGGAAAUUUUCCCACUUCCAAUCAAAUCAGUUUCCGCGUUGACGGAAAGUGGGUCAAAUGCGUGUCAAUGAAUUUCAUUUGAAAAAUUCGUUCCAGAUCUCAAUCAUUAUUAUAUUUGAAUUGUAUAAAUGAUUUGAAUUGUUUUUUGAAAUUGGAAUUAAAAUAAAAUAAAAAAUAAAAAUUCAUGCUCAAAUCCCAAUCACCCUAAGAUGAGAUCUUGUGACCCGAAAGGAUAACAGAAUUAGGUUACGGAUGACUAAGUUAGCAUUUAGUAAAUCAACUUAAUAACUUAAAGUAAUUUAGUAAUUUAAUAAUUUAAUUUAAAUUAUUAAAUAAAUUAAAUAUAUUUGAUAAAAUAACUUAAUGAUAUAAUUUAAAAUUAAAAAUAAUUUUAAAUAAUAGAUAAAAACAAUUAAUUUAUUCUUAAGUCAAUAUAUUUAGAUUAUCCUUUUACUAUCAUUUACCCUACUUAUUUUUAUGAUCUUUUUUACUACUUCAUAACCUUUACUAUUACUCAAUCUCUUUUAGCAUAAUUAUAAUUUACGAAGAUAAACAUGUCAAUUUUAUUAUUUAUGAUAAGUUUUAAGUUAAUUUUAUUAAACAAGUCGAAUACUUAAAGUAAAAAUUAAGUAAUAAAUUUUAACUUAAUAAUUUAAAUAUAAUUUAACUUAAAAUUAACUUAAGUCAUUAAGUAAUAAAUAUUAAGUUUUACUAAACACCUCCUAAACUUAGAUUGAUCCGUAUUCUUGACUAGACCUUUGAGCUUUAAGUCAAUUGUAUGUGGGAUCUAAGGGGUUAUUUGGAGCUAAAAUAACCGUCAAAUUAUAAAAAUGACCUCUUCUUUUUAAUUAUAUUGAGAAAUAACCCAAAGUGAAAAUACUUUGGGUUAUUUUAUUAUUAUAAAUUUAACAAAAAAAAAAAAAAAAACACUUGUUAAUUAAAAUAUUUAUCUAGACUUUAAUGUUAGAUAUCAAGACUCCAUGAUCUCACCUUCACAUUUUAGAAGUUUAAAUGAAACCAAAACAAAAUCUAAACCAAAAAAAUUUACAAGAACAACCGCAAAACAACCCCAAGCAAAAUCCCACUACAAAAAGCCUUCAAAAUCCCUGUAGAAAACAUUUGCAAAAAAAAAAAACCCUAAUAAAAAAUAAUUGUAAAAAGUCCCAAGUAAAAAAUAUAUAUAUAAUAAAAAAUAAAAAAUAAAAACCCCCGACCAAAAUCCCAUUGCAAAUAAUCCCUCAACCGUAAUCUCGCUAAAAACCUUAACCAAAAACAAUAAAAAAAAAAAAAUAGCUGCAAAAAACCACAAAAACCUUAACCAAAAAUAAAGAGAAAGAUGAAGAAUUUUGAAGAAGAGAAAAAGAUGAGAAAGUUGUGGUUAAUGUUCAUUUGGUUGAUAUUGGUUAUGAUUCCCCUCCAAAAUUCAUUAGAAGAAGGGAGAGGGCAUGAAGAAAACGAGAGGCAAGUGCCAUUUUUAAGGAAAUAAAAAGGAUAAUAAUGUCCAAAAUAGUCAUUUCCUUAAAGAAAAAAUUAAGAGAAAUCAUUCUUCCAAUUUCAAUGUCUUUUCUCCAAAUAUCUCAAAUUUAAAAGAAAUAAUAUAUAAUUAAUUAAUUAUUUUACUUUAAAAUUUUAUUUAAUUGAUUAUUAAAAAUAUCAUAAUAAUCUUCAUAAUAAGUCUUUCUUUUCGUGGAUAUUUUCUAUUCAAAUUAAUUUUUUUAAUUAAUUUUUCUUUCAUGUGUAUUUUCUAUUCAAAUUUUCAAUAUUUCCGUAAAAUUCAACCAUUAGUAUUUUCACAAUUUAUGGUAUUUAAUCAUUAUUACCAUGAAAAUAAGAAAAUAAAAAAUGAGAAAUCUUUUCCUCAAACACAACCACUACAUAAUUCUAAUUAAAGAAAAAAAAAACAAGCAAACAAUUUAUUUACUCUAAAUAUCAAUAGUUAAAACUUAUGGUUAGAAAAGUCUCACUGUCCUCCUCAUGGUCGUAAAAAAAUUGGAAGGAAAAUAUGAAAAAUAAAAAAAGGAAAAUAGGAAAUAAAUUUAUUUUUUAAAUAAUUUAAAAACAUAUAAAUUUUUAACUAAUUUUAAUUAUAUUUAAUUUUUUUUAUUAUAUUUUCUAUAAUGAAAUAAAAAAAUAACACUAUAUUUAAUUCCUAAAAAAAUUGUGAGAAAAUUAAAUAAAAAAUAAAUUUAAAAUUAAUAAAUUAUUUUUAUAUGGUACUUCAAAUAUUUUCACUUCUUUUAACCCUUCAAAAUAAUGAUUAAAUAAUUUAAAAAUAUAUAAAUUUUAAUUAAUUUAAUUAUAUUUCAUUUUCUUUCGUAUUUUUCAUAAUAUAACCAAAUAUGAAAUUUUAUUUUAUUUUAUUUUUUAACAUUUCUUUUCUUAAUACUUUCGAAACUAAACAUAAUAUUAACAUUUUUUUCCUUUAUUAAUAUUUUCAGACAACCAAAUUCAGCAUAAAGCAAUUUCAAAAACUCAGCACAACCAACCAUCAAACGGACACAAGCAUCUCUCCUUAUAGGACCGACUGCAGAAUCUUCCUCUACUAAAUGGUUGGAAGAACCAACUGAGACAAUGAACGAAAAUUCAGUAGUAAGUAGACACAUACUAAUGGUUCCAUUGUUUUUCCCGGAAAAUUAGAUUAUAAUAUAGGAACUGAAAUUCAGUAGGUAAAGUAGAUGCAGACACAUGACCAAAAUAUUUGUCUUUUAUUUUGUGCUAUACUAACCUCCCUCUUUCCUCAGAAUCCCCAAGUUUUCCUAGAAGACUCAUGACCCCAAACAUAAUACCGAGAAAGAUACACAUACAGAACCAAAACCUAAUCCCCAAGUUUUCCAGGAAAAUUUGUUGACCCAAACAUGCUCCUCAGAAUCCCCAAGUUUCUCUAGAAAAUUCAUUGAUCCAAACAUACUGAGAAAGAUACAGAAGGAGCACAAAAACUUAAUCCCCAAGUUUUCUUACAAUCCACUCCAGUCUCUGUUUAUGUAACUGCUUGAUCACCAAGUAAAUCUUCAAAACUUCUCUGAUUUCCACAAUUCUACCAGAAUUUCUUGAAAACCCCUCUAUGAAUAUAGAAUGCAGAAGGAAUUGACUAGAGACAUUGUGGUUUAGUUGAUAUGCAAAAUAGCAUAGUUUAUUGGGAGCAGACAGGAAACUAUAUCAAACUCAGGAAAGCAUAUAUUGAUUGAAGGAUUUUGAGAUCUCAUUAUUAACAUUUCCUGAUACAAUCACAACAAACAUUUUUCAGAUAUAAGAUCAUAGUUGGGCUACUGGCAACACAGAGAAGCACCCGGUCUGUUAAAAUGUUUAGUAAUUCAUCAACUAUAUAAAGAAAAGAAUGGGCAUAAACAAUAGUGCUUACGCGUCAAAAAACUGUGGAUCAUGGAGAUGGUCCUGUCGGAUUGUGGGCCUCAAUAUCUACAUGCCGAAUGCCAGGAACAAGCUCCUGGAUCUCCUUUUCUAGCCUGUCAACUUCACUACCCAGAGCUGUAACCACUUCCUCACCUGCCAUGAGAACUCAAGUGAGUUAUUUUCAUGUUGUUGGUAGACUUCAGUGUAAAUGUUAUUUGUUAGUUUAUUAAAGUGCAUACCAUAGUUUGACAUCAUCCGCAGCAGUGCAGAAUCGUCCUCCUCCUUUGCAGCUUCCCGAAACUGAAUAUCAUUAAUCCUGUUGGUUAGAAACCCAUCCUACAGAGUCCAAACCACACAAACAAUGUCCCUAAUGAUUUUGUACAGGCAGGCCCAACCUGCUGGAGCAAGCCAUCAAGAUGGCCUCCAUUUUGAUCAAAACCCAACAAAAAAUGAGUUGUCCUCCGGAUGUGAUGAACAGAAAGGACCUUUUCAUUUAUUUAUCCUUUUUUUUAGAGCAAGGGAUUAGAACAAAAUUUGUACUUGCAGGGCACAUGCUUCCGAAGCAAUUCCCACAUAAUCCACAGUGAGACUAGAUUCUCUCAUGUAUUUGCAUGGAUAAUUGGUAAUAUAGAUUUCUAUUUAAGAAAUGGGUAAGAUAAAUAUGCAUUCACCCUUCUCAAUCUUAUCCCAACCCAAAUCCCAGAAGCAAAAUAAGAUAGAGAGUAACAGGUCCAUAUUGACUGGAUGACAUUUAUAUACAAGCUUAAAACAAUACAAUUUAGGAGACAUGUAACAUUCAUUUCAGAACAUCUAGGGAUCGCAGGGACUUCUAAUUGUUUGAAAUAUUGCAGAACUAAAAGCACCUACAUGUGUGUGAUGCCAUGUAACCUCAGUUUCCUGACCACCCUUUUCAAGGAAACACUUGUAUUUGUAAAAAACUGACAGCAUUCACCCAUGCAAGAAAAAACGGCCGACAGUACCAAAUUUACUGACUGUUAUAUGAAAAAGAAAUGUGGAAUGUCAAGUACCUUGACAAGGGUACUUACAUGUGACACAAUUGAAAAGCAGUUACAGCUUCCCCAAGAAAAUUUAUAAAAAUAAAAAUAACACCAGUUGGUAAAAACUAACCUGUCUGGCCCAUGUUUCACGUCCUGUCCUUUUCAGAUAAUUUUGCACCACCACCACGCCAUUGAAAUCUGUUGCAUACAACUUGCCACCAUCAACACACUGAGAUCCAAAUAGUGCUAAUUUAAAGUCUAAUUGAGAGUUUAUUCUUAAAUGGUUAGAAGCAUUUUCUAUUGCUUGAACAAUCAUCCAUAGCAAAAUUUGGUAUCAGACAAAGUUGCAGAAAUGACAUUUGAAAAUCUAGAGAAUCACUUCAACCGAUUCUACAAUUAACACAUGGUAGUUGUUUCUACUAAAUAUCUUUUUUUUGUUAUAUAACAUAUUCUCAAAAACAUUAUCAAAAGCAUUUUUGGUUUAUAUCUAAACACUAAUUUGAUUCUCUUUGGAAAACCAAUUGGCUGCUAGUGAGAUAAUGUUAAACCUCUUUCUAUAGUUUGAAUAAUACUAAUCAACCUCAAGUUAGCACAAUUCAGAAGCAAACACCAAAUUCUGAGCCAAUACCAUCUUAGGCUUGGUUCCUAGUCAACCACAAACAACAAGCCAACAUAACCUCAGCUUACUUAUUGAGCUAACACAAAAUCCUAAAGCCAAUACAAUCUUAGGUUUACUUCAUGAGCAGAACACCAAAUCUUGAGCCAAACAAUCUCAACCUUACUUCUUAGGUCAUUAUUUCCUCAGGAGCGGCAAUCUUGGCUCUAGCACCACUUGUUAAGACUAAUGCAUUGGUUUUUUACAUAUGAAAAACCGAUUCAUAGUCAUUAAGGUCAAGCUCAACCUCUUUAUAUGGUUUGAACCACACAACAUUAGCAUCAAGCUAACACAAUCUUGGUACCAACGCCAUUGGAAUCAUAUAAAAAACUUUAGCUUGAUCUCAUUGGUAGUUAAUUGGUCUUCGGCCAGUUUGAACCGCACAACAUUAGCAUCAAGCUAACACAAUUUUGAUACCAACACCUUUGGAAUCAUAUGAAAAAGCUUAGCUUGACCUCAAUGGUAGAUAAUUGAUCUGUGGCUAACACUGCUCGAAACAUAUGAAAAGGUUGAAUUGACAUCAUUUGUAGUCACUUGAUUUUCAGAUAAGGUGGCUAAUAUCUUGAUUCUAACAAUAAGAUGCAUAAUAGUGCAUGGUAAACCAAAGCACAAAAUGAAAAUAUAUCAUCAAUGAUGUAUGCAUAUGGGUGUGGAGAUGUUAGAUAUCCUCAUAGAGAUAUUGACCUAUAGAUAACCAAACCACAUAAAAAUCUGAAAAAUAAGUUACUGUGGCAAAGGUUACCUAUUUCUGCCUUAAACCUAAAGAACCCAGGUCCAAUCACCUCACUUUUACAAUCAUAUAGAGCAUCAACUACCUACAAAAAAAAUAAAUAAAUAGAGUCGUACCCGUCAAACUGGGACAAAUAUGUAUAACAGUAGCUAAUUGGGAUAGAGUUAUUCAGUGUAGAAAACAAUACCGGAUCAUUUUUCAACAAAUUAAGAACCUUUUCCAUAUCAUGAGCAUCAAUUGCUCUACCAAUCAAUGCAUGCCGAUUCCUCUGGAUGAGAAAUAUAGCUACCUGAAUAAAAAGUUCAACUCAAACACAUCACUUUAAACCAUGCUAAUAAGUCAUACGUUUUGUUCUUAUAGAACAUAAAUAACAUAUUCUCAUACUAAUUAACCUUGAUAGAUAUCUAUAGCUCUUUCAAUGUCUCCAAACACUUUGAACACUUCGUAGUUGUAAGUUUUACAAAUAGCCCUUUGAUUAAACCCUGAUCUGAACUUUCGCAGCCAUAUCAACAACUUCCCUCAUCAACUAGAAGUUGGGUCAUGCUACCGAUUCUCCAUCAAUAUACCACUUGUCUCUUUUUCUUUAGGUCUCUAUCCUCCAAAUGCCAGUGGCAAGUUUGUGUUAAGGUAAAACACAAUAAAAGCCAAUGGUACAUUUGGAAAAUGAUACGGCCAUACUUUUGUAAAGGAAUUGAUUACCUUUAGGGUAGUGUAUACAAUUGCAGGCAUUUGCAUCUAUUUCACUUGAUGGGAAUAUUUUAGUGCUAUAUAAAUUUUUAGGUAAGAAAAAAAUGGAAGGUAAAUACUACUUACCAUUCCAAGUAAAUUACCAACCACAAUUGAACCUAUUGGGUCAUAAAUUGGAUUUCCAGUCGUAUUUACAGCAACUAGUGAUGCUCCUGCAAUAAUAAGACCAGUAACUGCAGCACCAUCCUGCUUAUUUAAAGUCAUAUGUUAAGAGAAAGACAACAACAGAACAAGCAAUAAGAUAAAAUGAAUUGCUUAAAGAGCAGAAAACCACUAGCUUGCCAAACUAUAGUAAGCACCAAGCACCCGCAACAAUAAUAUGCAUAAUCAGCAUACAUAUAUUCACACAAUAAAGAAAAGGACAAAAAUUUGACAAAAAAAAAGAAGAAAAAUCGACUAGUCAAAAAGGAGAGUGCCUUGAACUUCUGAGAGUUUUCAAAAGCAGAAAAAGAGGCCAAACAGGUGAUCUUUUGUUCAGAAUCCUGAUGUUAAGAAAAGUUGCCAAAUUACAUGAGCACCACAAACUUCAUGAUAGCACAUUUUCCCAACUUAAGCUGGAAAUGGAUUCUAGAUAAUGAAGUUCCAUGCAUACAACAACUUUCUCAGCACUAGAAUUGUCUUCAAUGCUUCAAGCAUCCUCAAAGGUAACAUCUUGAUCUUGUACAAAUCCAUAGCACAAGAAUAUGAUAAGAGUACAUGAUAAAUGGGUCGAUCCUCAAAUGAUAAUGAGGUAUUGAAUGGUGUAGCUUCUAAUGGGGGUUAUCACAUAUUAGAGGCAGGAACUGGGAACGGAAAAGCAAUCAAUUUUGGGGAAGAUUCUUUUAUAUAAAUGUUAGGAGGAUUUACACAAAUCUUUACCACCAUGGAUAAGUAGGUGGAGUGUGAUGUUAUUUUGAUAUGCCACAAAGUUGACAGAAAUUUCCAAGAUUUGGAGUCAAAAAAGUAGCUCAAAUCCUUUUUCCUGUCCCUAGAUCAAUAUGUAACAUUGCUCCUUCCCCAAGGAGCUACAUUAGAACUUUUCAGUUUCAUCAAAAGUGGCUUUCAUCAGUUUAGUAACUCUUAGAAGAAACAGGUGGUGAUUGGUGGAUAUUUUCUUUACUCCAAAAUGCUAUGUGAGAUAACUCUGAAAUGUUGUGCUUUUUUAGUCUCAAUUGGAGGUGGGCAGUAGGCUAUUAUUUGCUCCUCAAACUGUUGGCUCUCCGUGACUACUUGGUUCACAUUUUAUUUAUGGAUUCAGGCUCUAUUGGGUUAUGCCCAACUAUAUAACAGGUUUUGCUAAUGGGUGUGGCCAUGCAACAUGAAAGAUAACCAUUUCUGCGGUUCUACAAUUGAUGUGGAAGAAAAGAAGUAAAAUAUUAUUAGUAGGAUGAAAGAGAAGCUAAGGAUUGAGCAUCUUGCAUUAUCAUUUGCGGAAGAACCCUAAUUAUUCAUCCUGUAAAGUUCCAAUGAUUCUACAUCCUAUGGUGUCAAGUCCCUUUUUCUGCAAACUAUAUUUAUAAUAUAAAAAAUUAUUAUUAGAAAGAAACAGUUUGUGCUCUUGAACUUGGAAAUCUGAGCAAGAAAGCUAUUACCUUGAUCUCUAGAAAAUUUUUCAUGUUACAUUCACCAUUAGAUACUUAUUAUAGCUUUCCCUGUACUACAAACCAUUUUUAGAAAUGAAAAAGAGAACUUGGAGUCUCACAAGCUUGUGAGCAAGGAGCAUACAUUCCAAAUCCAAGAUCAAAGCUUCACUUGGUAAGGAAUGUUGCAACCAGAUUUAAAUCCUAAUCCUAAGAAGCAUUUUUUUCUUUUUUCCUUUUCCACUGGAGAAAUAAGAGUUACAUAUUUAUGUUAGAAAAAAGGAUGUUAGCAAACAAGGGGAAGCAACUCUAGUACACAGAACUUAUAGAAGACUUAAUCUUAAAGUAAUGCUGUCAUUAUUUCCAACCAUUGAAAGUGAACAAGGCACAGGCAAUUACCUCUGUCAUGACUGCAACAGAUGUAGGAUCAUGACCACGCCAAACAUAAUCUCUCACCUUCAUUCCCUCUGCAGCUGCCCCUUUCUUGACAGCAUGUAUGGCUACUACAAGAGAAGCACCUAAAGAAAAGCCACUGUUAAGGGGAAAGAUGAAGAAAGAUAAACUAAAGAAACUCUUGAAACAACCCUAUAUCACAAAAUAAUUAUGCAAUGAGUUGUACCUUCAAUGAGGAAUGAACCACCAAUAACCAAAGCCGCAUACUGAAUAUUUGCAGGAGGCUGGAAAGGACAUGCUCACAAAUCAAUAAACCAUAUACCAAAGCAACUGGUAAGAAUCUGGAAGGAGAGAACCAGAGAAGUUCUAAGUUACAUGUGAAGUCCACAAAUUUUGUACUCCAUGAACAAUUGUAGCACCAGAACCAAGACAAAAUAUACCAACGGCAGAAAUCAGAGACCAAACGAAUCUUUCCUUCGAAUAGCCAUAACUGAAGAACACAAAAAUAAAAAUUUCAGAUUAUUCAUAUAGUCUAUGAACAAAAGAAACAAGUUGUAAGCCUCAAUAUGAAUAUCCUUCAUGCAUGUGCCUGUCUGUGAAUUUCCCAAUAGAAAAUGCACAGUUCACUGACUGGUGUAUGUAAUUAAGGGUUCAGGUUGUGUCAGACGAAUCCAUUCUUUUGCAUCCAGAGUGGCAAUGUGAUCAUAAUGAAUUCAUUCCAUGAUUCUGUUCUCAACUGAAACACCAUCCAAUUUGAACUAUCAAUUGAAUUCAAGUGCUUCAUAACCAGUCUAGUACUUGGAUCAAAUCAGGUGAUAACUAAUCCCAUUCUGAAUUCAUAGAAGAAAAGUGCACAGAAGUAUUCACUCCAAGGUGAAAAUCCAAGAUUUAUCCAAAUAAUUAUAAUUUUUCUAUUGAAGGUUUCUCAGACAAAAUGAUGAUGAUGAUGAUGAAAUUGCACAGAAGUAUUCAGUCCAAGGCAUAAGUCCAAGAUUUAUCUAAAUAAUAAUAAUUUUUCUAUUCAAGGUUGCUUAGACAAAAUGAUGAUGAAGAAACAUGUACAAGUACUUUAUAUCUAGAUCAUAGUUGUUAACUUGUAAAACAUAUCAUGUAUCAUUUUUCCAUUUUUCUAUAUUGAAUAUUUUAUCAUAUCGUAUAUAUAUAGUGAAAAAUAAAUAGAAUAAAUAUGUAUACAAGUGCAUAUAUAUUGUAAAUAUAAAGUAAAAAGUAAUAUACAACCAAUUUCAUGAAAGAUAGUAGGAUUUAAAGAAUUAAACUAUGUCAUACCAUAUGAAAACAUUGAAUGCUAGAGUUUUAAAAAGUUCAAUUUAACAAAAUAUAAGUUUAAUAUAAAAUUUCAUCACAAAAUCCAUAAAAACAAACUUCUUAGAUUUUUACAUUUAGGUUUUAGUUCCAAAUUCUACCAAGGCAUAAGUACUUAUAUGUGUUGUUGAUAUAAAUGUCUCUUUGUGCCAUCUCCAAAGUUCCAACUUUUCAUGUUCGUCAUUAUCUCUUCCUCGCCUAAAAAAAACCUAAUAAAUUAAGUAAAAAAUUUUUAUUCACUAAUCACCAUCAUUUUCAUUGUCAAUAUCAAAACCAUCGAAAUGGUCCGAUAUUCAUUAUAAGAACAAAUUUAUUUAACUUCCACUUUGGCCUUUGACAACAUGAAUAUAGCUUUCAUGUAGGAUUAUCUUUACUCUUUCUCUUUUUAUGAUCAAUUUCUAACCUUUUUGUAUAUAUUUCCUUUAACAAAAUACUUUUGCUAAAAAUUAUGAAAAAUAGCUAAAAGUGUAUAUAUCAUUUUAUCAAGCAUUGGAUGAUGUAUCGUAUAUGUAUCAUAAGAUACACUUAAAAUAAGAUACGGGUUGCUAAACGCCUCGUAUCAUAUAUCCUAAGUUUUUAACAACUAUGAUCUAGAUAAAGUUUGAUCCAUAUGCUGAAUGGUGAAGUCAAUGUAAAUAUAACAAAGACAAGAACAUCGAUGCCAAAGGUGACCUCUGAAAUGAAAUACUCACGGGUGGAUAGCAUCUGGAGCACGCCUUGAGCUACUCAGACCAUAUGCAAGAAGAGCCUACAUUGUGAAUAUGUAUUAGUUUCUCUGCAUUCAAUAACUACAAAAUCAACACAAAUGUAAACAAGAGUAAAAGAUAAGAAUGUCAGGAAGAUGAACAAUUAGACUAACAGGAGUACCUGAUUUGCAAAAUCUGCGGCUGAGUGCACAACUUCAGCCAACAUAACAUGGCUAGAGGUUGUUAACCAGACCCCAAACUUGAGAGAAAAGACGAGGAAGUUACACCAUAAUGCAGUUCUGACUGCUCGUUGGCUAGAAUAAACAUGUUAGGCAGAAACAAAAGAAAACAAAAAAGGUCAGAUGGUGAAAAGUGGGAGCUAAAUUUCUGGUCCCUAAUUGCAAAAAAGGCUCAAAAUUCUUGAUAGGUUUGGAUUCAGUGCAGUUCAUUAAUAUGCAGCUUGGAUUGACGUCAUCCACAAUCACUCCACAUCCUAAGAAAGUCACCCAUAAAAUCACACUAGAGGAGAGAAUCAAGAAACAAAGGAAUCAAAAGAAUGAAAAGCUUUCUCUUUCAUGACUGCUUGCAUCAACUAGUUAAUUUACUCUUUUCUUGUAUUAAAUCAAAGAUAAUGUUACAGAAGAUUAAGAAUUUCCAAAACCAUAAAUAUACACACUCCUAAAGGUUUUGUAGCCUAUUUCUGUGAACUGGGACAUUCCAACUAACCCCAUUUUCAUUUUCGGGUUGCUAUAAAAUAGUACCCCAAAAUAAAACAUUCCCAUAAAUCUUUCCUUACUUUCCCAAAACCAAAAUACAUGUACUCCGACUCUUAUUUGCAAGUCAACCACACAAAUGCUCACAUGAUCAAUCAACAAACCAACUUACAGCCCCAAAAAUGGCCAGAAAACAACUCAAUUUACCUGUCCUAUAGUAAGCCCUUAACAUGAACUGAAUAGUCCCAAAAAUGCAAUUCAAUUCAAUUCAAUUUGUUUAUCUUAUGGUAAACUAUUAACAUGAAUCAAAUAGGCCCCAGAAACUUAAUAUACUAUAGUAAGCCAUUAAUAUAGCUCAACUAGGACCCGAAAAUUCAAUUCAAUAUAAUUCCACAGUAAGCUAUAAAAUCCAAUCAUGAUUAGAACAAUAGCAAUAAGGAAACAAUGUAGGUCAAUAAAAGGAACCAAUGAAAACUAAUAAUAUCAAUAUCACCUGUGCUGAUCAUUGAUUUCAAUGUUCUUAACUUCCUUGGCUCUAGUAAAAAAAUCUGUAAAGAUCAAAGAAAGCCAACAUCAACCCACAAAAUGGAAAAAGAAUAAAAAUAAAACCACACCAUUCAUCCACCUUCAAAGAAAAAAAAAUACUCACUACGAUUGAUAUAAUGGCGAUUAGAAUCUAAAGAGGUCCCACAACUGCACAGAAAAUUCCGCAAUAUGGGCCUUGGAGCGAAAAAAAGGGCUCCAUUUUCUGGGAAUUUACAGUAAGAGCUGGGUUGUUGAAGGUUGUGGUUGAAGGAUGGAGAGGAAUGUAGGAAUUGGGAGAGAGUGAGGAGGCGAGAGAGGGGGAAAUGGGAGUAGUGGUGGCGCGUGAGGAGAGCUGGAGAUGGGCUAGGCGUGAAUCGAAGAAGGCAAGAGCCUAUCUUCUUGUUGAUGCUUCUCUGCAUGCUCCUUGCUACUCCACCUCCAUGGAAGCCCUCGUUUCAGAGAUUUCAGGGUUUUGAGCUUUUUGGUUUUGUGAGUUGGAAGGGUUUUUGGAGAAAUGGGAGGAGAGGGGUUUCUGGAAUUGGAACAUGCUUUCUGAUGUGUUUUUCCACUUUUGGGUAAAAAUAAAAAUAAUAAAAUAAAUAAAUUUAUUAUUAUUAUUAUUAUUAUAUUAUGACUCUAUAUGUUCAACUCAAAAUUUAUUUUAUGAUACAAUUUAUUUUAUAAAAUUGAAAAUAUUUAUAUUAUAGAUAAAAUAAAUAUUAUAUAAAAAAUUAUUUGAGAAAAAAGGUAAAAAAGAUGGUAUUUAUGUUGAGGAAAAACUUUCCCAAUUUUAAAUUUUAGGUUUUUUCAUAUAAUAAUUAUAGAAAAAUACUUCAUUAUCUAAAAUACUUCAAAGGUUGGCUUCUCUUGCUACUUAUGUUUUUAUUAUUUAAACAAUGAUUUUUCUUCAAAAAAAAAAAAAAAAACCUACUCUUAAACAUUAUUUUAAACAAUAAAUAUUGUAUAUAAAUAAAAUAAAUAUUGCACAAAAAAUAUAAUAUAUAAGAAUAUUAUAGUUAAAAAUAACUAUAGUACUUUUUUUUUUUGGAUAAAUAUGUAUACAACAUAUUCAUUAUACUAAUUGUAUUUUUAUCAUAAUAUUAUAAAUCAAUACCAAUUUUAACUUAGUUUUAUGUUGUUUGGUUGUGAAUGAGAAAUUUGCCGGAAAGAAAAUUAAAUUUAUUAGGCAUGACCUAAAAGCAAAGAAUAAAAUCCAUUUUAUCCCCUCAACCUUUUGUGUCUCUUACACUUUGUCUCACAUUCAAAAUCCAACGCACUUCAAACUUCUUAAUGGGUAGCACUCAACUUUUUUUUUGGAUAAUUUUUAUUUUCAUUAAAUGGAUGUGCUCCACACGUGAUGUGAUAAGAGGGUAAAAAUGUCAUUUAAAAGAUAUCCAUGGCCCUAAAAUCUAUUCCUUCAUUUUUCUUUUUCUGAAACCUUGAAAUCCUCAAGUCUAAAAAAACACACCUCCUUUAAUCGAUCUUCCUAUUAUGCUGAGACAAUGAGUCUAGCACAUUAUAUGUUGGCAAUUUUGUUUCAAUAUAUUUUGGCUCAUGAAAGUUUUUAAAUAGUGACUUACUCAUCAUUGAAGAUUCAAGGUUGUUGUUGGUUAAACCAUAAAGUUACAGGUAAGUUUAAAAAUGUUUAUUUAGUGGCAAGUUAAAUGAUUAAAGGGUUAAAGUGGAUCAAUAUUUUUUUCAUAAGCUAAAAAUACUUGAAUUAAUGUUUUGGAAAAAACAAGAGACACUUGAGCGGUGGAACCAACACUCAAGUGCUUAUCUAACACUCAAGCUCACAAGGCGUUCGAGCGAUGAUUAAGUGCAUUCAAGUGGUUGUCCCAAAUCUGCUAGAAUAUGGUAGAUUUCUUUUUGAAAUUUUAUAAGUAUUAUUUUUUGGAAAUUCUAUAUAUCGAUCCCUUAGGCCUAUAGGCCUAUAUAAACCCUCUAUUAACCCCUUUUAGGGUUAGACACCUUGAAAGAGUUGACCAACUUAACCUAUCAUUCCUAAUCUCUCAAGAAAAAAUUCAUAAUAUUGAAUUUCGGGUUGUUGGAAGAACUUGCAUCCCCUAAGAGGUUGAGAAGAAUCUACUAAAGCAUUAGAGGUGUUAUGUCGCGGAUGUGGAUCAAGGUAUAGGUGCUAGAGAAUAAGUUUUUAAGGUAAAAUGGUCAAGUAAAUCUGUGUACUUUGACCUGAAAUAGUGGAUUGUAUAUUAAAGGUCUUAGACCUCAUGGUUUUUAUUUCCACAGUUAGUGUUAGGUUUUUCCACAUAAAAAAUUAUUAUGUCUCUUGUUUGAUAUUUGAUUACUUUGAUUAUCCCUAAUAUCUUCAAGUUUUAUUUUGGGAUAAUUUUUCAUCACUUAUAUUGUAUUAUUUAAAAACACCUAUUCCCUCAUCUCCUCUCUCAGGUGUUAUCCUAAUAGACAAAAGGUUUUUUCAAUUGGUAUUAGAGCAAGCUUUUCUAAAUAAAAAUCAUAUUUUUAUUGAUCUUGCAAGUCCAAUAUGGAACAAUCAAGGUCUGAAGCUCCCCUAAAUAGUCCACCCUAUUUCGAUGGGAGUAAUUAUCCCAACUAAAAGGCCCAAAUGAUUUUUUGAAAAUGCAAGGAGAAAAGGUCUACAAUGCAACGAAAUAUGGAUGAAGACUUCAUUGAAACUAUAUGUGAAUGGGAAAUCUACUGAUGAAUUAAAACCCAAAAAAGAAUGGCAUAAAUUAGAUAAUGAAGAAAGUGAUGCCAAUGCUCGGGUUCUCUUUAGCAUAUUCAAUAGGGUAAGUCCUAAUGAGUUUUGCAAGAUAGCCACUUGUAAAGAUGCUAAAAAAGCCUAGGACAUUCUCCAGGUUACUCAUGAAGGCACUUUAGUUGUGAGGUUGGCUAAAUUGCAAAUGUUAACCUUCAGGUUUGAAAGCAUUAAAACGCAAGAGAAUAAAACUUUCUUUGCAUUCUAUGCUGAAUUAAGUGACAUUUUGAACUUCUUUUUUUAACUUAAGAGAACAAAUCCCUGACUUUAAAGUAAGUAGAAAAAUCUUGAGAUCUCUUCUUGAAAGGUUUAAACCUAAGGUCAUCACAAUAGAGGAAAACAAGGAUAUUUACUCCAUGAGGGUUGAUGACCUUGUUGGUUUUUUUCAAAUCUAUGAAAUGACCUUUCUAAACUCUCACAAGCCUAAAGAGUCUACUUUUAAGGAUAAUGAAAUUGAAGAAAAAGAGUUUGAAAAUCAUAAUGAGAUAACUAGGGAUGAACUAGCGUUCAAGGCUAAAUGAUUACUACUCAAAAAGUGCUAUUUCAUAGCUUGUAAUUAACUCUUUUAAACACUUUUAAGUAGUAGUUAUUAUCUUUUAACCCAAUUAACAUAUUAAGGACCCUUGCAAUCAAUUCUAAUCAAAUUGUGUUAAGUUUUGGUGUUUUGAUAACUUUUUGAUCACCAAAGCAAUCCGAGAUUGAGGAGAGUUCUUUGGAAUCCAUAAGUAAAUCCAGAAUACAAGGAGUAUGGGAUCCUGCUCAUUCCACCCGGACGAGAAUCAUAGCUCAUUCCACCCGGGUAGGAAUUCCAUCCGGCUGCCGCUAUUACAUCCGGCUGCUGCCACUUUCCACCCCGGAUGUAUCACAUCCGAAAUUCUGCUGCCGCCGCCAUUCCACCCGGAUGUAUCACAUCCGGAAUUCUGCUGCGUCGUCAUUCCACCUGAAUGUUUCACAUCCGGAAUUUUGAUGCCGGAUGGGAGAGGAGAGCGUUUCAACUUCCCCGGUCACACAUAUCUGGAUCAUCUGAUAGCGCUUACCCGGAGAGUUUCGCAGAUAUUUUGCACAGUGUCGCGGUGUUCUCUUGAAGCUUCCAGAUAUUUGCGACUGACAUUUGAAGAUAUUUUGCUUUAGAUAUUUGAUGUCGAAAUCCCCAAACUCUCCUUGUAACCCACCAAUUAUAGGAUUCCUUAGUUAUUAAGUUUGGAAAAAUGGUGAAUAACCCCUUAUAUAUAGCUUUGUAAUUUCCUUUACAGAGAGAGAUCGAUCAUAUAUCGAUCAUAGAUGUAAUCUGGGAGCUUGUUCUUAGAGACGCAUCCUUUGUACAGUUUUGUAAGGAAGUAAAAUACAAAGCACUUGCUCUGCUUUUCAUAUUUUUGUUUUCUUGUUAUUUUACUUUCUAGCCAAUCAAACUCUGAAGAUUUUUCCUCAGAGGAUGAGAGGCUAGGCUCUUCGUCUCUUGGAGUGAAGAAAGCUGGGUAAAUUUCCACAUGCAUAAAUUGGAAGUUUUGUUGUUUUAGUUUUUAAUGAAGAGAAAGUGUGACCCGUUAAUGGUUUUUAUCUUUUUAGUUAACUUAAAACGCCUUUAAUUCACCUGGGCCAACACUUGAUAAGGCAAGUGGUCUCCAUCCAUUGAGAUACACUAGUUUAUCUCUUGCGAGCCUUUGGGAGGUGGUUUGAAGGUAGGAUUUUCUAGAAUAACCAACACUUGGUAAGCUUUUGGACUCUAAGGAGACAUCCAUUAGUUAUCUCUUGCGAGCUUUUGACGGAUAAUCCAAGGUUAAAGAUCACCUUGAAUGGCAAGUGCUAGGUGAGAGGUAUGAGCCAUUGCAAGAUGCAUCAGUGAGAUGGAUUUAGUGUUUGAACCCAUUAAAGGGAAGCAUCUGUACCACACCGGUUCGGGAAAUAACUAUAUGUUAAAUCCCCAAUGCGAGGAAAAUAAACAAGUGACCGGAACUCUCCUUUUUGUACAAGGAAUCUGAGCCCAGUGAUCUAAACUCCAAGAAAUACUUUUCUUUGUAAGUAAAAUCAGUUACUAUUUUUGGUUAGUUUAAAACCAAACCUUUUCCGCCAAAGAUUAUGUUUUCUUUUAAAGCUAACCUUGAAAUGAAAAGACACCAAUUCAGCUUUGAAUUAAUAUCAAUUGUGAAGUGAAAACCCAUCCCAGUGAACGAUCCUAGAGCCACUAUGCUAUAGUAGCUUUGUCUUUGCUACCCUAGUUCAUGGUGUAAUAAGUUAUAAAUUUUGUUGAUUACUCCCGCAAUCAAGGAGCACCAGCUGGACAUGAAUCAGUUGAGACACCAAGUGGGCACGAAUCAAAUGGCGCUGUUGCCGGGAACGAAUCAAAUGGCGUCGUUGUCGAGCCUUGUGAUUAGAAUUGGGAACGAAUCACUAAACGUAUUAAAUGGGUUUGAAACUUAACAAUAGACCUAAUAAGAACAAGGACUUGGGAAAGGAAAAAAGAUUUGGUAGGUCUUCUAAAGAAAAAGAUAAGGAAAUUGCAAAAGAGAAAAAAGGUAAAGUGUUUUAAUUAUGGAGGUUUGGAACAUUUUUCUAUUGACUAUGUCCUAGUCUCAAUGACAUUAAAAAAAAUUGUGCAAGCUACAUGGAGCGACACUUACUUUGGUGAGAGUGACUCUAUGACUUUUGAAGAUGCAAGGUAUGAGCAAAAUGAUUAUUUAAAUUUUAUUGCAUCUGUUGAUUCUAAGCAUGAUACUAAUAGUCAUGAGAGUGAGUAUACUAAUGAAUAGAAUGCUAGUUUUCUUAGAAAUAUUUCCAUUGAAUAUCAAAAACUGAUUGAACAAUAUUUGAAGACUCAUAAUAUUCUUAACUCAUAAAAAGCUAAAAUUGAAUAUUUUUAGUGAAAAAAGACUAAUUAUCUUGCGAAAAUUUGAUUCAUUGAGUUUGAAUAUCAUUCUCUUCUUGAGAAAAACAAUAUUCUAACUUAAAAAAUUGAGACUAAAAAACCAUCAAUAAGGCUUUUCACCUUGGGACUAGUGUUGGAUGAAAUUCUUGAGAAAUGCAAGUCCCAAGGAGAUAAGAAAGGCCUCGACUAUAUUAGCAAAACCAAGAC